rnacentral:rRNA from 1 species
UACGGGGGGGGCAAGCGUUGUUCGGAAUUACUGGGCGUAAAGGGCUUGUAGGUGGCCAACUAAGUCAGACGUGAAAUCCCUCGGCUUAACCGGGGAACUGCGUCUGAUACUGGAUGGCUAGAGUGUGGGAGAGGGAUGCGGAAUUCCAGGUGUAGCGGUGAAAUGCGUAGAUAUCUGGAGGAACACCCGUGGCGAAGGCGGCUCUCUGGGACGGUACUGACGCUGAGACGCGAAAGCGUGGGGAGCGAACAGG